GAGUUUGAUCAUGGCUCAGAUUGAACGCUGGCGGCAUGCCUUACACAUGCAAGUCGAACGGCAGCACGGGAGCUUGCUCCUGGUGGCGAGUGGCGAACGGGUGAGUAAUGCAUCGGAACGUAUCCUGGAGUGGGGGAUAACGUAGCGAAAGUUACGCUAAUACCGCAUAUUCUGUGAGCAGGAAAGCGGGGGACCUUCGGGCCUCGCGCUCUUGGAGCGGCCGAUGUCGGAUUAGCUAGUUGGUGAGGUAAAGGCUCACCAAGGCGACGAUCCGUAGCAGGUCUGAGAGGAUGAUCUGCCACACUGGAACUGAGACACGGUCCAGACUCCUACGGGAGGCAGCAGCGGGGAAUUUUGGACAAUGGGGGCAACCCUGAUCCAGCCAUGCCGCGUGAGUGAAGAAGGCCUCGGUUGGUAAGUACGUCUUCGUCGAGAGAAGAAA
rnacentral:rRNA from 1 species